GAACGAACGCUGGCGGCAUGCCUACCCCAUGCAAGUCGAACGAGACCUUCGGGUCUAGUGGCGCACGGGUGCGUAACGCGUGGGAACCUGCCCUUAGGUUCGGAAUAACUCCCCGAAAGGGGUGCUAAUACCGGAUAAUGUCUUCGGACCAAAGAUUUAUCGCCUUUGGAUGGGCCCGCGUUGGAUUAGCUAGUUGGUAGGGUAAAAGCCUACCAAGGCGACGAGCCAUAGCUGGUCUGAGAGGAUGAUCAGCCACACUGGGACUGAGACACGGCCCAGACUCCUACGGGAGGCAGCAGUGGGGAAUAUUGGACAAUGGGCGAAAGCCUGAUCCAGCAAUGCCGCGUGAGUGAUGAAGGCCUUAGGGUUGUAAAGCUCUUUUACCCGGGAUGAUAAUGACAGUACCGGGAGAAUAAGCUCCGGCUAACUCCGUG
rnacentral:rRNA from 1 species